rnacentral:rRNA from 1 species
UACGAAGGGGGCUAGCGUUGUUCGGAAUUACUGGGCGUAAAGCGCACGUAGGCGGAUUUGUUAGUCAGGGGUGAAAUCCCGGGGCUCAUCCUCGGAACUGCCUUUGAUACUGCAAGUCUCGCGUCCGGAAGAGGUGAGUGGAAUUCCUAGUGUAGAGGUGAAAUUCGUAGAUAUUAGGAAGAACACCAGUGGCGAAGGCGGCUCACUGGUCCGGUACUGACGCUGAGUUGCGCAAGCGUGGGGAGCAAACAGG